rnacentral:rRNA from 1 species
AAGUGGGGGAUAACGCAUCGAAAGAUGUGCUAAUACCGCAUAUCUCUCAGGAGGAAAGCAGGGGAUCGAAAGACCUUGCGCUAAAGGAGCGGUUGAUGUCUGAUUAGCUAGUUGGUGGGGUAAAGGCUUACCAAGGCAACGAUCAGUAGCUGGUCUGAGAGGACGACCAGCCCACACUGGGACUGAGACACGGCCCANACUCCUACGGGAGGCAGCAGUGGGGAAUUUUGGACAACGGGCGAAAGCCUGAUCCAGCCAUGCCGCGUGAGUGAAGAAGGCCUUCGGGUUGUAAAGCUCUUUUAGUCGGAAAGAAAGAGUCAUAGUAAAUAGCUAUGAUUUAUGACGGUACCGACAGAAAAAGCACCGGCUAACUC